UACGUAGGGUGCGAGCGUUGUCCGGAAUUAUUGGGCGUAAAGGGCUCGUAGGCGGUUUGUCGCGUCGGGAGUGAAAACACCGGGCUUAACUCGGUGCUUGCUUUCGAUACGGGCAGACUAGAGGCAUGCAGGGGAGAACGGAAUUCCUGGUGUAGCGGCGAAAUGCGCAGAUAUCAGGAGGAACACCGGUGGCGAAGGCGGUUCUCUGGGCAUGUCCUGACGCUGAGGAGCGAAAGUGUGGGGAGCGAACAGG
rnacentral:rRNA from 1 species